rnacentral:rRNA from 1 species
CCCUUAGAUGUUCUGAGCCGCACGCGCGCUACACUGAUGCAUUCAACGAGUCUAAAACCUGCUCUGAUAGGGGUGGGUAAUCUUUUGAAUGUGCAUCGUGAUUGGGAUAGAUGAUUGCAAUUUUUCAUCUUCAACGAGGAAUGCCUAGUAAACGCAAGUCAUCAGCUUGCAUUGAUUACGUCCCUGCCCUUUGUACACACCGCCCGUCGCUCCUACCGAUUGAAUGAUCCGAUGAAUAUCAUGGAUUGAGGAUGCAAGUAGGUUCGCCUAUCUUCAUCUUCGAGAAGUGAAGUAAAUCUUAUCAUUUAGAGGAAGGAGAAGUCGUAACA